UACAUCUAUGCCCCUUAUGACCUGGGCUACACACGUGCUACAAUGGUUGGUACAACGAGUUGCGAGUCGGUGACGGCGAGCUAAUCUCUUAAAGCCAAUCUCAGUUCGGAUUGUAGGCUGCAACUCGCCUACAUGAAGUCGGAAUCGCUAGUAAUCGCGGAUCAGCACGCCGCGGUGAAUACGUUCCCGGGCCUU
rnacentral:rRNA from 1 species